UGCAAUGGCACAAUCUCAGUUCACUGCAACCUCCCAGCACAUACCUGCCAACUGAUUCUGGCUGUAGGGGACGAAGGAUGAAGGGGUGAAGGAUGCCUGUGAGGUUUGGGGCCUAAAUAAGCAGAUGCCUGGAUGGCCAUUUACUGAGACAAGGAAGAUGGGUGGACACUGGGGGCCUGCAUUCCCCAAGCCACGUACCUGAGAUUGGGUGUCCCUCCUGCCCCGGCUCCAUCUGAUGUUUUGCAGGGCCUGGAACGGCCUCCCUGGCUUACUUCUCAGGGUCUCUAAGGAUGUGUGAGGUGCCCUCAGGAGCACCCCAAGCUGCCCAGCGGGACUCCUCCCGCUUCUGUGCUCCUGCUAUUGCUGGUGCUCCUGAGGCUGUGAGCUCCUGGCAAGCAGUGGCCGCUGUCCUGAGGCUACUCCAAGGGAGUGUCAGGGGCACUGGGGCCCUCCUUGGAUCUGGGAAGGGCACCCCAUUUUCACAGGAAGCUUGGGC
rnacentral:lncRNA from 1 species